GAUGAAGAACGCAGCGAAAUGCGAUAAGUAAUGUGAAUUGCAGAUUUCAGUGAAUCAUCGAAUCUUUGAACGCACCUUGCGCCUUGUGGUAUUCCACAAGGCAUGCCCGUUUGAGUAUCAUUAAAUCAUCAACUCUAAAAACUUUGUGUUUUUUUGAGCUUGGUCUUGAGGGUUUUUUGCAGGCGGUUCCGUCUGCUCCCUUUAAAUGCAUUAGCGAGACUUCCCUGUGCUGUACCGUCUCUUUGACGUGAUAAUUAUCUACGUUGAAUUUGGUUCUCGUUGGGCUUGCUUCUAACCGUCCGUGAUUUUGGACAAACCAGGAUUUGGGUGCAUAUAUGCGCCUUUUUUCUAAACCUUUUUUGAUCUCAAAUCGGGUAGGACUACCCGCUGAACUUAAGCAUAUCAAUAAGCGGAGGA
rnacentral:misc_RNA from 1 species